rnacentral:rRNA from 1 species
GAUGAACGCUGGCGGCGUGCCUAAUACAUGCAAGUCGAGCGAACAGACGAGGAGCUUGCUCCUCUGACGUUAGCGGCGGAUGGGUGAGUAACACGUGGAUAACCUACCUAUAAGACUGGGAUAACUUCGGGAAACCGGAUCUCAUACCGGAUAAUAUAUUGAACCGCAUGGUUCAUUAGUGAAAGACGGUUUUGCUGUCACUUUUAGAUGGAUCCUCGCCGCAUUAGCUAGUUGGUAAGGUAACGGCUUACCAAGGCAACGAUGCGUAGCCGACCUGAGAGGGUGAUCGGCCACACUGGAACUGAGACACGGUCCAGACUCCUACGGGAGGCAGCAGUAGGGAAUCUUCCGCAAUGGGCGAAAGCUUGACGGAGCAAAGCCGCGUGAGUGAUGAAGGUCUUCGGAUCGGAAAACUCUGUUAUUAGGGAAGAACAAAUGUGUAAGUAACUAUGCACGUCUUGAAGGUACCUAAUCAGAAAGCCACGGCUAACUACGUG